UGUGGAUCGACCAAGAACAAGAAAAACAAGGGCUCACCCUUGUUCUCACCAAAUUCACCAAAUUGACAAGGGAGAAUUGAUGAUUAUCAGUUGCAUGUGGUAGAAUUUCGAUCAUUUACCCAUACCCAAUCAAUUGGUGUGAAGGAAGAAGGUUCGAAUUCUAAGAAGCCGGAAGGAUCACAAGACCGAGGAAAAUCCUCGACUUAGGCGAUGGGACGGCUCGGAACGUGCACACUUGGAUUACGCCCGCCUCACGCUUCCGUUAUUAAGUCUUUUAAAAUGGGUUAAGUUUUGGUCAUAUGUAACUAGGUCUAUGUAGUAUGUUGAUAACUUCGAAGUUGGGUAAAAACUUGGUAGUCGAAGUCUUGUCGUGUCCAAUAUAGACUUUGUUUGUUUUGGGUUUUUGUCAUGGAUGUUAAGCAUCAAAGUUUGGUAUGUAUAACAGGGUGUUAAUGGUUUAAAACGAAUAAGU